GCAAGCGUUUUAUAGUGGUUAGCGCGUGGGCCUUUUACACCUCGUCUGAGGAACAAAAGGUAGCCCAAGGUUGAGAGUUCGAGCCUCUCGUCGGGCG